GUGCUCCAUUGCUCCAUUACAUCACUAUUCAUUCUGAGAAUAUUUUUUUCCUAAUAUCCAAUUUGACCCUCUGUUGAUGGAGGAUAUUAUCUCUUGUCUUUUCACUAGUUACCUGGGAGAAGAAGCUCAUCAUCACCUCACUACAACCUUCUUUCAGACAUGACUCCUCAGCCAGCUGACAGUAUUGCCUCAGGAACUGACAGCUCCCACCAGGAGACUGCUGUCAUGGGAAGUCUCCACUGGCAAUCUCUUUUCUCACAUCUCUCAAGUCUGCAAAGACUCUGAACCUCAAGGCAAGGACUGGGGGAAUGCAGUGUCUCCCUCUGUGAAAGAAGAUCAGAUUUGAGAUCACCUGAUGAAUAUGAGUA